rnacentral:rRNA from 1 species
AGUGAACGCUGGCGAUAGGCCUAACACAUGCAAGUCGAACGGCAGCACAGUAAGAGCUUGCUCUUACGGGUGGCGAGUGGCGGACGGGUGAGGAAUACAUCGGAAUCUACUUUUUCGUGGGGGAUAACGUAGGGAAACUUACGCUAAUACCGCAUACGACCUACGGGUGAAAGCAGGGGAUCUUCGGACCUUGCGCGAUUGAAUGAGCCGAUGUCGGAUUAGCUAGUUGGCGGGGUAAAGGCCCACCAAGGCGACGAUCCGUAGCUGGUCUGAGAGGAUGAUCAGCCACACUGGAACUGAGACACGGUCCAGACUCCACGGGAGGCAGCAGUGGGGAAUAUUGGACAAUGGGCGCAAGCCUGAUCCAGCCAUACCGCGUGGGUGAAGAAGGCCUUCGGGUUGUAAAGCCCUUUUGUUGGGAAAGAAAAGCAGCAGGUUAAUACCCCGCUGUUCUGACGGUACCCAAAGAAUAAGCACCGGCUAACUUCGUG